CAGCAGCCGCGGGAAUACAGAGGGUGCAAGCGUUAAUCGGAAUUACUGGGCGUAAAGCGCGCGUAGGUGGUUUGUUAAGUUGGAUGUGAAAUCCCCGGGCUCAACCUGGGAACUGCAUCCAAAACUGGCAAGCUAGAGUAUGGUAGAGGGUGGUGGAAUUUCUUGUGUAGCGGUGAAAUGCGUAGAUAUAGGAAGGAACACCAGUGGCGAAGGCGACCACCUGGACUGAUACUGACACUGAGGUGCGAAAGCGUGGGGAGCAAACAGGAUUAGAUACCCCCGUAGUCCCUGUCUCUUAUAC
rnacentral:rRNA from 1 species